CACGCCCUAAACGAUGUCAACUAGGUGUUGGGGAAGGAGACUUUCUUAGUACCGCAGCUAACGCGUGAAGUUGACCGCCUGGGGAGUACGGUCGCAAGAUUAAAACUCAAAGGAAUUGACGGGGACCCGCACAAGCGGUGGAUGAUGUGGAUUAAUUCGAUGCAACGCGAAAAACCUUACCUACCCUUGACAUGCCAGGAAUCCUGAAGAGAUUUGGGAGUGCCCGAAAGGGAAUCUGGACACAGGUGC
rnacentral:rRNA from 1 species